GAACAUUUAAUAAAACCACCUCCGACGGAAACUAUUGCUAAUCGAUACGACCGGCUAAUCCGCUAUGGCCGGCCAACAGUAAACACUCGCCAACUUCCUCAGCAAGCAACCAAGGUCCACUGGAAUUCAAAGUCUAGUUGAAUCCGACUGCACAGCGACGUCCGUGGAUAGUAUGAGUUUGGGACAAGUUGAUAUAGGAAUCUGCUGGUUCGCAUCGCAUUUCACAUCGCCAUUCGCCACACCAAAACUCUCGCGUUGAGCAUGUGAGUCGACGAGAAAGGCAGGAGCACAUUUGGUUCGGAAAUGUCAAUUUAACUCGACCCGAGACUGGUAAAAGGGAAAGGAGAGAAAGCCGUGCGUGACUUGUGACGCAAUCUGCUCGGCCUGCUUCGUCUCAUCUCAUGCAACUCUGCACCACAUUGCGAGUGUAGUGUAUCCCGUGACUUUGUUUUCGUUGUGUUGCUGUUGUCUCAAGUGACAUAGUGCACAUGAUGCAGGUUCAAUGUAGAAACGAUGUAAAUAUUUAUUUGUUAAUGUGCAGCAUGAGUAAAAAUAAUACAGCAUAUACACAUAAAUAUGUAAAUAUGUUACAUAAAUAAAAGCUCAAGAGAUGCACACCCUGCAUCUCUUAAUCCACUG